UACGAAGGGGGCUAGCGUUGUUCGGAGUUACUGGGCGUAAAGGGCGCGUAGGCGGCGCAUCAAGUCAGGCGUGAAAGCCCUGGGCUCAACCCGGGAAUUGCGCUUGAGACUGGUGUGCUCGAGUACGGGAGAGGGUAGUGGAAUUCCCAGUGUAGAGGUGAAAUUCGUAGAUAUUGGGAAGAACACCAGUGGCGAAGGCGGCUAUCUGGACCGUAACUGACGCUGAGGCGCGAAAGCGUGGGGAGCAAACAGG
rnacentral:rRNA from 1 species